rnacentral:lncRNA from 1 species
GGAGUGCAGUGGCAUGAUCACAGUUCACUACACUCUUGGUCUUCCAGGCCCAAGCAAUCUUUCCAUAUCAUCCUCUCGAGUAGCCGGUACUACAGGCGUGUGCUACCACAUCCAGCUAAUUUAAAAAAUUUUUUUCUUUGUAUAGACGGGGUCUCCCUAUGUCACCCAGGUUUGCCUUGAACUCAGGGGCUCCCUUUGAACUGGGCUUGGGGCUGCUGACCUCCUUCCUCCGAGGAAGCUUUGUUCCUGGCCAGUCUUGCCCAUGGGCAUUGCCAGUCACAUGAUUCAACUGGAGGCCCAUGUGGCACAGAGAAGAAAAACUGCAGACUCCAAGUGAAGAACCAUCCUCACCUGACAGGAGCUCCCCGGGACUGAGCGGGUUUCAGCAUCACUGUGAUGGUCGUGUCUGUCUCAUUCAAUGGGGUGUCUGUGUCGUACUCAGGCAUGGAUGGAGCUGGACAGGAAACAGAGAGUGCAGGCCCUGCACUGUGUGCUGCUGGAGAGGUGCCCAACUGAAUUCAAGUCAGGCCUCAUCCUCAAGUGACUUCCAUUCUUGAGAGAGAGUGACCCCCAUUUCUUUACUCCUGGAAGACAAGCCAUUGUUUUGGAAGGAAGGCUCCAGAAUGUCCAUGAGUGGCUUUGGCUUCUGUAUCAAGGCGCAGUGGCUCAUGUCUGAAAUCCCAGCACUUUGGGAGGCUAAGGCAGGAGGAUUAUUUGAGCCUAGGAGUUUAAGAGCAGCCUGGGCAAAACAGCGAGACCCCAUCUCUACACCAAUUUGUUUUAAAAAACUAGCUGGGCAUGGUGAUGCACGCCUGUAGUCCUAGUUACUUGGGAGGCUGAGGCAGGAGGAUCACUUGAGCCCUGGAGGUCGAGGCUGCAGUGAGCCACAAUCGCGGCACAGCAUUCUAGCCUGGGAAACAGAGUGAGACCAUGUCUCAAAGCAAGCAAGCAAACAAACAAACAAAACAAAAAAGUUUGAAGGUCAUAGAAAAGCAAAGAAAGACCAAGAAAUGGUCACAGGUUGAGGAACAAGGAGACAUGACAACGAAAUGCUAUGUGAGAGCCUAGAAGAAAAAAGAAGACCUCUGUGGAAAACCUGGAGAAAUCUGGAAAAAAAAAAAAGUCUGGCAUUUAAUCAAUAAUAAUGCACUGAAGUGAAUUCUUAAUUUUAAUAAAUAUACCAUGGCUAUGCAAGAUGUUAACAUUAGGGAAAGUUGUAUGAGGGGUAUAAAACUCUCUCUUUUUUUUUUUUUACAGUUUCUCUGUAAACUUAUUUCAAAAUCAAUUGUUUAAAAGACAACAAAUGGCAUGCUGAGAUUUGGCUGCUGUGAGCAUCUUUGUGGCUGCAGAACAGAACCUAAACAGAUAUCCAUUGAGCUCUUGACUAGGUGCUUGGCCAUGUACUAAGCUCUAGAGAAUCCUCAGGAACCUACAAUUUGGUGAGGGAGAUAGGUAUGGCCCACAGGAAUAAGCGGGCAAGGCACAUUAAGAGCUCUGUUCUGAAGGAAGGGAAGAUGGCUCUUAUGAGCAUGUAACAGAGAAAACAGAUUGAGUCUCUGGGGCCAGAUGCCUUCCUCAUAGAGUGUGAAGCUGUUAACCAGAUGAGGAGCAUGGGAGAAGGGUGGGAGGCAUGACAGGAGAUGGUGGAGAAUGAAAGAAGAAAAGGCUCUUGGGCAGGACAACUGCUUGCCUAAGGGAUGCUUUUGUGCAAAGUAGAAAAGGUGCCUGUCUCAACUCAGUCUCAGCCCCCUGUACUUCAGUGAGCUGAUGCUGCCUUUGUGAGAAGAAGAAGAUACGCUUUUCUUGGUGCCCAGUCAUAUUCUUCCUGGCAGACACAGCACAGAGUUUAAUGGAUUUCAUUUCCUUGGUAGUGUGUCUUUGUGCAGUGCACAAACUAAGCAACAGUAGGUGGCAUUUCUGCUGAGCUCAGAUUAUGGAAGCCUUUAAUGAACUACUCAAGUGUAUAUAUUUUAUUUCGAGGGUAAUAUAGAGCCAUUAAAGGAGAGGGUAGGCCAUCAAGAGAGACACAGGAUCAUACCACAGUGCUACUAAACGUGUGGUUUGCAGAUAAACAGCAUCAGCACCACCUGGGAGCUUGUUAGAGCUGCAGAUUCAUGAGUCUAUCCCAGACCUCCUGAUCAGAAUGUCCGGGGCUGAGGCCCAGCACUCUGUUGUUUCAUAAGCUCUCCAGGUGAUUCUCAUGCACACUGAGUUUGGAGAAACACUUUCUCAGGCAAGGGGAUGGAGGAUUGAAAUGACCAGAGGAACAACACCGGGGUCCCUUUGGAGGGUCUGGCUCUCAUGCAGAUGACAAAUACAAAGAAGGCCUUGUUUCAACCAGAAGCAGAGGAGAUGGAGAGGUGACAACAGUGACUCUGAGAGAUUCUGAGUCCUGGCUGGAGAAGAAUGAGGUCCCUAGAAAUGUAAGAAUGAGACGGAGCCAACACAUGGCCCCAGACCUGAGCCUCCUAAGGCUGAAAACCACUGGGGAAGACCUGCAAGUAUCCUUACUGGCCUCGUGCUUCCAAUGCUGUUAACAUUCAUGAAGGCAAAGAGUGUGGGUCUCAGCCAGCGGGAGGGAAGACCACUGGCUGACAGUCUUGCAGAGCCAGGGCUGAAACUCUGACCCAUCACUUACCAAGCUUUAAGCGACUGAAGCUCUAUUUUGUACCCUCACCAGCCGAAGGGCCCUGGAGACAACAGAACAGAGCAGCAACGCCUCUGAACAGCAUCUGCCAGGCUUCCCUGCUUUCCAAAGCCAAGCUUCAGGGUCAGAGGCUCAGCCUGCAGGCUUGGUUGGCUGUGCCGGGGCCUGCCCGGGCUGCACACCUUCCCCAGCACUGCCAGCACAGGGACCCAUGCCCGUGGUUCCUGGCCGUAUCAGCCCUGCUGCGGCCCUGCAGGGGCUUCCUCUAGCCUGGUGCGGACUUUCUUGGUUACCAUGGAUCAAAGGGCUGUUGUAGGAGUGGGGAAGUUAACUCGUUUGCCCAACAUGGCUUUUGCUGAUUUCCAAUCAAUGCCCUGCUCUCUGACUUCAGCUGUUUUCCUAUUGGCUGUGGGAUCAAACAUAGGGAGAAAACAAACUCGAAAUCCAGCUGGCCCAGGGUCCUUAGUAUUCACCAUCCAUCAACCAAAAUGGAGGGUUAGUUAGUGGGUGAUAAUAACAGGAACAAACAUUAUGUGCCUACCAUGCAUAUGGCUCUCUUCCCUGUGUCACCAUCCUGCUCCUUAGCUACCAGACACACUUUAGGUGAGUGUAUUCCUGUCAACAGGUGCUCCCUCCACCAACACCUCUGGCCCCUCCAAUCCUUAGCACCGGGCUGCUUCCCAGACUCAUUGCCUUCCCUCCCCUGCCUCACAUGAGAGGGAUAUUCUGAGAUUCACUCUUCCCAGCUGCCCUAAAUUUCAAAGAAUGCAGUCAGAGUCCCAUAGCAGGGCCACCAUCAACUCAGACGGCUCUAAGCUCUUUCUUCCUGAACUACCAUAAUGCAGCCUAAUAAUAUGAAGCCUCAACCUCCUUUCAGCUUUUAGUCUCAUGCUGGGGUGUCCUGGGUGCUAUGAUUUUGUUAUUUUCACAGAAACCUUCUUGUUUAAUGAGUCUGUCUAGCAAUAUUCCCAAUGGCUUUUAGUCUGUAUUGCAAUACUUCUUGGGUUUCUGAACAUGAGCUGCUUGCCUUCCAACUUCACACUCAGCUGAUUUCUGUUCUGCUAAGUUUAACCUGGUUAAGUUGCUAAGUUGCAUGACCAAUUCCUCUCCAGUUGGCUUUGGGCAUGGAGAUGCAAGAAGUUAAAUAAUCCCAUGAUCCUGCUCAUUGGAACCCUGCAGCCAUACUAACAGCCUUUCUGGCAGACACCGCCUGGAACAAAUCCUUCAUUAAGGGCAAAGCCUAGAUUCUAUUUAUUGAUUGUAAUAAUUGCCAAGCACCCAGCUUGGCAUAGAGAAGGAGUCAAUAAGGUUUACCAAAUACAUGAGGAUUAAGAAUGAAAAUGUAACAAAUCCUCAAUGUGGUACAACUGGGAUUUAAAAUGAGGUCAUUCUGAUCCUGAAGUCCAGUAUUCUCCGCCCCACCCUGCCACCUUGGCCUUGGCUCCUCUGUGCACAUCCUGUGUGAACAGUUUCUAGGGAGAGGGGCUGAUUGAGGGGAGGCUGCAACUGUCAGAACACGAGGCUUUGUAGAGGGUCUGUCUGAGCCCACCCCACUCAGGAGGGACUUGCCAAGCAAGCCCAGAAGCUGGGUCCAUGCCUGUCCGGCACAGAGUUGGUGCUCAGUAACUAUGUAUUUAAUAAUUAAGGAGGCCCAAGGUGGUGAAGGUCUUGUAUCUGGGCCUGAAUUUCUAAACCUGUGUAAGUAGAAAGUCCUUUUGGUGCUUUUUAGAAAAUAGCCCAUAUCCUUUGACACUGCUUUCAUUAAAAGGUGGUGUUUAUAUCCCCUGACUCCCCUUAAGUCUUAGGGGACUUGGGACUGCUCUCACCGAUACAAUGUAGGGGAUGUGAUAUUUUGUGACUUCUAAGAUUAGGUCAUGAAGGCAAUGUAGUUUCUGACUUGUCCACAGAGACUCUUAUGUCUACAGUGUCUAAGCUGCUGUAUAAGAAGUCUAACUCCCCUGGGGCCGCCAUGUGUGAGCAAACGCAGGGUGCAUGACAGUCCCUGUGUAGAUGCUCUAGAUUGACAGCCCCAGCUGAGUCCAGUCAUCUGGGCAACAGACAGCUAAGUGAGGAGGCUGCCGUGUGAGUCCAGUUCUCGGCUCUCUGGUCACCCCUGGUCAUUUGAGUCUUCUCAGCUGGGACCCUAGACAUUGUGGAGCUGAAGCAAAUCAUCCCUGCCCUCUUGCAUUCCUGACCCACAGAAUAUGUAAGCAUAAUAAAGUUGUUGUUUUAUUCCACUAAAUUUUGGAGUGAUUUGUUACCAGCAGUAGUAACUAGAACACCAUUUGUUCAUUAGACAAGAGUUUCUUAAAGAGCAUCGGCAAUAUUUUAUUCUCUUUCAUAUCCCCAAAAGGAAACAGUAAAUGCUUAACAA